CCUACGGGUGGCUGCAGUGGGGAAUAUUGGGCAAUGGGCGCAAGCCUGAUCCAGCAACGCCGCGUGAAGGAAGAAGGCUUUCGGGUUGUAAACUUCUUUUCUCAGGGACGAAGAAAGUGACGGUACCUGAGGAAUAAGCCACGGCUAACUACGUGCCAGCAGCCGCGGGAAUACGUAGGUGGCAAGCUUUAUCCGGAUUUACUGGGUGUAAAGGGCGUGUAGGCGGGACUGCAAGUCAGAUGUGAAAACCACGGGCUCAACCUGGGGACUGCAUUUGAAACUGUAGUUCUUGAGUACUGGAGAGGCAGACGGAAUUCCUAGGGUAGCGGUGAAAUGCGUAGAUAUUAGGAGGAACACCAGUGGCGAAGGCGGUCUGCUGGACAGCAACUGACGCUGAGGCGCGAAAGCGUGGGGAGCAAACAGGAUUAGAUACCCGAGUAGUC
rnacentral:rRNA from 1 species